UAUCACCUGGUGGUUGCCGAUCACAGCGCCCAAAUCCAAAGCACCCCGGCGAGCGCCCAGACGCCCAGCUUGGCUGUCUCGGCGCGGCCUCUUCUUCUCCGGCGAGUCCUUCGACCAGGUGAGUUCUCCUCCUUUUCUUUGUGUUGGAUUGAACCUUCGUAGCGCGUUCUUUUUUCGUCCUCGGCAAACUUGCCAUGCAGUUUCGUGACCGAAUUGUCCUGCGCGCGUUGUCUAGCUAAGUUGUCGCGCGCUGCUAUCCUCGCUCCAUCGAGCUUGCGCCUCCCACGCACGCAGCCGCGCCCUGCUUCUCCGACUUGGCAUGGCAGCCUGUUGCUCGGCCCCGGCCGACGUGCCCCCUGUGCCGCAGGCCGCUCGACCUGCUCCUCCGGCCUCCGCAUACAUGCUCCCCUGCGCAGGGCGUGGCGCGGCAGCCGGCCUGCGCGGUAGACACGCCAGCGCGGCGGCUCGCCCGCGUGCUCAGGCAUCCGGCCCUGGCUCCCUAGCCUUGGCGCCAUGGUCGGCCACUCGGCCAGGCUCCAGCCGCAGCGUGCCUAGGUGCCCAGCGCCCUCACCUCGGCUAUGGCCAUGGCCAGCCCCCAGCCUAGAGCACCGGCUCCCCCUCCCAUGCCCACGUCCCCUCCUUCUCCCUCCCCUUGCUGCUGAUUCCAUGGAGAAAGAUGGAUGAAGGAAGAAGAACUUCAUGCGAUUGGAUAUGAGAGAAGAAAAGUUCCGUGCACAUGAGAGAGAGAAAAGAAAACUGCCCACGUUUCAGCCUGACGUCAGAUCCUUUGUGGCUAUGUUCCCUAUGUCCCUAGGUGUGGCCCUGCAUGUGGCAAGUCUUCAGCCAAUUAUAUCACGCCACAUGUUUUUCAGUCCCCGGCUAAUUGGAUAUGCGUCAUUAUUUGCGUUAAAUAUUCGUUUUAAUUCAUUCGAGUCAUGUUAGCUUCGUAAUAACGUUGACAACAUGUUAAUAACAUUAUUCUGUUCGUACACAAGUUUUAAUUAAUUAGUUAAUUAUUUGUUCAUCUGAUAUUUAUUAAAAUAUCAAUAUAAUUAAACUAAUCUAUAAUUUUAAUUUGCGCUUUUAUAAAUACAAAUUAAUGUGAUUAAUGCCAACUUUAAUGUUUUCAACUAAUAUUUGUUUCAUGUAAAAGCGACAUCUAUUUGUGAUUUUCGCGUUUCUUCGUGCAUGGCGCGCGUGCUAUUCGCGCACGUCAUAGCGCGUCGGCCACGCGCUGUUUUCAAGCAUUGUCGUGUGUCGCGCGCACGAUCCACACACAUUAGUUAAUCGUUUCGCUAUAGUCGUUCAUGCUUAUUAAUUAAUUCUUGUUUAAUCGUUGACUAAUCGAUAAUUCUAUUUAUCUAAAAUAUCUUACGCAAAUAAUUUUGUGCGUUUAAUCACAAUUUAGUAGUAUUCGUUGGUAGCGUCGUCGUUUGUUAGUCGCAAAUGGUCAGUUAUUUGAUAUAUAAUGCGUCGUAAACCCAUUUCUACUCGUCUUGGUCGCGUGCUGAGUCGCUCGUCGUUCACGCGUGCCGCGAGCAUUGUUUCGUGUAUGUCGUGCGCAUUGCCGCACGCGUUAUUAAAUGGUUCCAUGUUAGCUGCUCGUAUUAACUAAGUAAUUCUCGUUCAAUUGUCGAGUAAUAAAGUAAUUGUUCAAUCGGAUCGAAUUUAUGAGUUUAAUUAUGCGAUUGUAAAUACAUAGUAAUGUGAUUUUUAACCACUUAGAUGUUGUAUGGAAUGUCUAGUUAGUGUUUAGUAUAAAAACAACAGUUCAAUCGAAUCUAGUUUAUAAUUUCAAUUAUGCGUCGGUAGAUAUUUGGUAACGUGUUGUCAUGCGUGUCCGUCUCCCGUUGUUCCGCGCAUGUCAUGUGUGUAGUCGUCGUCUAUUUUCUUGUUCGUGCGCGCGCCGCCAUGCGUCCGGUCCGCAUGUUAAAUCAUGUGUUGUUUUGCACGUGUCGUUCAUGUAAAUCGCAAUUGGCACGCUUCAAUAGGAUCACUUCGCCAUAUCGUUCAUGUUAAAUACUUGAUUAAUUGUUUAGUAUUCAGUUAUUAAAGUAAGAAUUUAAUUAGAACGAGUCUAUAGUUUUAACUCGUGCUUUUAUAAAUACAAAUGUUAAUUGACUCGGUUAAUACCAGCUUAAAUACUUUUAUUUAUUCGUUUGUUGUUGUUCGCACGCUGCAUCGUUUGCGCGUCAGCGUGCUGUUCGCGCACGUAGUCGCGUUGACUCGCGUGUAUCACGCACGGUUGUGUGCGUUGUUUCGCGUACGCGCAGCGUGGCGUCGGGGUCCCGACGACAUCCGUCUACCCCUAGACGACGUUCGUCUACUGUAGACGACACCCGUCUACCCCCUGAACCCGUUCGUCUACCCCUUCGUCUACCCCUGGAACAUCGUUUGACUUUAAAAUCUAAUUUAAGAAUUCGAUUUGCACCAACAUGAUUAAUCUUAACUGAAAUAUUCUUUGUUAAUAAUUGCUUAGAUUAAUCAUGCUUUUAUUUAUUAGUUUUUCAUGUAGCUUGCCUUGCCACGCGUCUGGUUCGUGUGUCGCGCGACGUCUGCGUGUGAUAAUAAAUUAGUUUCGUUUGUAACUCAUGUUGGUAACGUUAACUUGUCGGGUCGCUUAUUUUAGAUAAUUAACUUAAGGUUUGCUCGGCUAAUAUUCAUUAGACUAAUAUUUAUAACUAUAUUAAAUGUGUAGUGUUCCACGUGAGCUUUUAUAAUAAAUAUUAUCAUGGCUAGUAUUAACUUAACUACUUUUAUUUAUUAAAUAUUUGUUUAGUACAAAUGCGUUACCUAUUUUAUUUUCUCGCCUGUCGCGCGUGCUGUUCCACGCGUGGUGGCGUCCUCGUUUGCGCUGGUCGAGCGUUGUUUCGUGUGUCGUCAGCGUGCUAUGUCGCGCGUGUCCGCGCGUCGUUUGCACGCUGUCGUGCUGUUUCACGCGUCAUAAAUUCAUCUCGCAGAAUCUAUCAUUUUAAUUAAAUUAUUUAAUUAACAGACAUUUGUUAGCGUAUCAGAUUAAUCGAAACUAACUGAUGUAUAAUAUUUAUGUUUGAUCAUGUUGAACUAAAAGUUGUUGUUAAUACUUGUUUAACGUUAACGCGCUAACUUCUCAACUGUAACUUCGAGUUCGACGUUUCUUUCCCUCGCGUGACCAUAGAAUCGAGCUCUAUUUUAUGCUGCAUGUUUUUAUAACAAUUUAUCAUGUAUGGUGUAAUGUUCUUAUGCAUAUACAUAUGUUUGUUUGUUUGUGCCUGUUGGUAUUCGUUGUGCGUCGCAAAUAGUUUGCGAUCCGUUUCCGAGCUUCGAGAGAUCGAAGGUCAAGCUUUGGUGACCAAGUGAUCAAGCUCCUCGAGCUCUACGAGAUUGAAGAUUCUGAGCAUCUGUUUGGUGAAGGCAAGUGUCCUCUGACCCAUUAUGUCCUAUUCACUUAUAAUUCACUUUCCCGCAGUAUUUAAUUGAAAUCUAAGGAUUGACUAGCUUUGUACUUUACCUUAUCCUUGAUGACCUUUUUGGGUGAUUAUGGUUAGCGUUUUGCUAUUGCCUUAACUUAAUCAAUGAACAUGAUGUGACUAUUUAUGAUACGAUACUGUUAUCCUGAUUAUAUUGUUGAUCUUGUGAUACUCUAGGGGGCUCAGGCUGUUUCCUGAGUACCUCUCCGUAAGGACCUGUUCGUUGAGAGACCACCCGGGAUAACAGUGCAACCAUGAGGGUGGAAUGGGGUGCCCUUAGCUAAUUAAUUAGAGGAACUAGAAGUGUAGUUGCUUCGCCGUCGUGCCGUCAAUGGGGUCCAGGCACAGUGCUUGCUCUGCCGAGGCUGAGUGCCGAGGUUCUUUCGUUUUGUUUUUUAGUCACCCUCCUGCGGGGAGAGGUACUGUGUUUAUCAAACUGGAGAAACCUAACGGGCAGCUAUGACCUCUAGGGAAUCUUUGUAAAGGCUUCGUAGUGAAUCCCUGGCCAUUCACCUUGGGAGUGAAUAAGGGUCUUGCAAGCCCGGGCUAGAGAGGGAAUCACGGCUCAUGGGUAAAGUGUGCGACCUCUGCAGAGGGUAGUGAAACUGAUAUAUCAGCCGUGCUCACGGUUAAGAGCAGCCUUGGGAUCCUCUUUGAUUAGAGAUACGAAUGGUUCGAGAUACAAUGGUUCUAUUUAUGAUUUUGGUUCGAUGAUGAUAAUGAUGUUCCUCGAUGAGGAAAUGAUUCACGGGUUAGUUAUUGCUAAAACCUGGCUUCACUAAUAAUAAAUACCUGACCAACUAAAAGCAACUGCUUGAGCCUAACCCCACAUAAAGCUAGUCCACCUCAGCCAAACGGGACAUUUGCUGAGUACGUUGAUGUGUACUCACCCUUGCUUUCAUAAAACACCAGGUUGCCUUUGGUGCAAUCUAUGCUCAGGUAAAGAAGAAGGUGUCGAGGUGGACCUUCAGGAGUUCCAGGACGUUGAUGAGUUCGAGGAUUAGGCUAGCGACCUCCCCCAGUCAGCUGCCUGUGGUGGGUUGUUUACGUUGGCUACGUUUCGAUUCUGCGUACUUUGAUUUAUAUUAUGUAAAUAACUCUAGUCUGUAAUAUUAUUACUUACUCUUUAUUGUAAUUCGAAGCAUUGUGCUAUGAUGAGUCAUUUAUGUAAUCGCUGUGUACGUGAAUUUCUGAUCCUGGCACGUACAUGGUUCGCAUUCGGUUUACCUUCAAAACCGGGUGUGACAUAAGUGGUAUCAAAGCCAUGCUGACUGUAGGACCGUUGGCCUAGAGUAGCAUUGGCCGUGUUAAGGACUUAUUGACUAUUACUUCACCUCAUCCUUGAUUCUGCUUCAAAAUAUUAGUCACCUCGACUAAUUCUAUGUUGUGCUCCUAUAUGCCUCCUUGCCAAAAGUAUUUUAUUCUAGUAUGGUCUAUACUUCUCUCAAUCUAUUAGAUCUGAUCUCACCUUGUGCUUGCGACAUCUUUGUAGAUGCCCCUGACCAUAACCUUCUUGUCUUUUGGGAUUCAUUUCUCUUCCAUCAUUAAAUUGCUACCAUUUGACCAUCUCUAUUCCCUUGGUAUUGACAUGCUUGUAUCCCUAUAUUCUUCAAUACUCUUGUUUCAAAUGCUUACAUCAGAAUUUCUACUGCAUACUUAAACAUUUCAGUUUAUAUAUCCAUGAUCUUCGUAUCUUUUGAGACCCUUUCCUCUUCUGUUGUUAGGUCGUUAUCUUUUGGCAAUUUUCAUUUCCUUAGUCUUGUUGUACUCAUGUCCUUGGAGUCUUGCAUAUUCUCAUAUUUUUUAUGGAUGAUUAUCUUCAUACCCCAAUGUCUAUUUAAGACAUUUCAGUUAACCUGCCCUUGACCACCCUUGUUUAUUAAUGAUCCAUGAACAACCAUUUUAUUUUGCACAUCCUUGGUGAUCUCGUUAAUUCCUUGUAACUUCCUUCGGUAAUGAUUUUUUUACUUCAACUCUUCUGUCGGAACCUCACUUAUCUGAUCCUUGAUUGUUUUCUCCACUUCGCCACUUUGCGAGUCUUGCCUUAACUCUGUCCAGGGUUAUGCUUUUCAUAAUUAUCACCCUUACCCUUAUCACCUCUAUAUCUUACCUUAAUGUUUAUCUUAUACCGACCCUUUAAAAUCUCCUCUUUUCAUCUCAAUACUAGCAUUAUACUUUACCUAUUUUUUCCCUUGGUUGUAUCCUCUUCCUUGUCGCUUGCUAGUUUUUAACUCCAUCCUUUGUUGUGCUUCGGUUGGGUACUACCUUUACCUUUCUCAUCUCUCGAUCUUACCUUGGUAAUUACACUAUGUAUGUUCUAUAAAAUCUUCAAUAUCCUAUCCUAGUUUAGGAGCAUUGUUUUACUUACCCCACCCUUGGCAAUAUCCUCUUCUUUACCGCGGGUAAGCCUGGGCGCAAAUCCAUUCUUUGUUGUACUCAUACCACUGGCUCUCCCAUGCCUUCAUUUUUUUUCUCUCAUACCCUUGUUUGUUAUCGCCUUUGACCUUGCGAUAUUGAGGUAUUCUACUUAAAUGCUUACCUUGAACUUAUCCUCUAAAAGCCUCCCCUUUCUUUCAACCCAGUUUGAGAGCUGUGAGUUACCUAUCUCUCCCUUGAUUUCUUUUCUCUCCUUGUCAUCUUACAAGUUUUGACUUAAUCCCACCCUUUGUUGUGUUUUUAUUCACUAUCACCAUCACCUUGUCAUCCGUCGAUCUUUCUUGGACACUCAUCUUUAUUCCCACUCUUUAAAAAUUCCCUCUCUUCUACCUCAAUUUGAGAGUGGCAGUUUACCUAUCUGGCCCUUGGACGUACCCUCAUUUUUUUACUUGCACAUCCUGUCUUAACUCCACCCUUUGUGGUAUUUAUAUCCUUGGUUCUUAUACCCAUUUACCUCAUCUUGUACAUCCUUGUCCAUUAUUACCUUUAAACCCUCGUGAUACCUAUGCCCUUGCCACAUGCCUACUUUCAACCUACCCUUUAAAGCCUCCUCCUUUUCAUCGCUGUUUGGGGAUAAUGUCUCACCUACUUCACCAUUGAUUGCUUCCCCUUCUUUGAUGCCUCACAAGUUUUGUCUAAAAUACAUCCUUGGUUGUGUUUGCCUGUUAUCACCUUAACCCUUGUCAUCCCUUGAUCUUUACCAUGAUGCUUAGCCUGUACCUACAUUUUAAAGCUGCCUCCCCCAUUUCAUUUCAAGAGCGAUGUCUUACCCAUCCCGCUCUUGUCUAUUACCUUUUCCUCUAUCACAUUGCAAGUCUUGUCCUAACUCUAUCUUUUGGUGUGCUUUUGCCUUUUACCUCCGUUGCCUUUGUAAUAUCUAGAGAUUUCCAUGAUGCUUAUCUUAUGCCUACCUUUUGACUUAUCAUCUUUCCCAUCUCGAUUUCAAAAUGGUGUUUUACCUAUCCUGACCUUGAUUUCAUUCUCUCCCUGUCGGUUCCAAUUCUUGCUUCAGCUUCAUCCUUUAUUAUGCUCAUGCCCCUAUCCUGCAUGUUUUAUUAUUCCCCUUGCCUUUCGAUGGCCUUAGAGUAGUUUCCCCUUAGUAAGGAAAGACCACCAUUUAAUUAGAAGGAACGUAUUGCAACGAGACGUUUGUUGUUGUAUGCUUGUGUUGUUUGUCUUUGUGUGAUGACUGAUUUGCUUCUUUGUGAUGAGUGUUGAUGUGUUGUGGUCCUGGGUCCGCAAUGACAUCCGUUUACUAGGUGAGUGUCAUAGAGUUAAGUAGUUGGGUUCUCCCCCUGCUCUCUCUAAUCCGUCUAUACUUACCUUUUCUCGCUAUUCUUUUCUCUUGCACCUGUCCAUUUGGCAACCUCCAACUCCUCCAAAUCAGUCAAGAUCAGAGUCGGCAACAUCUUCACCAAGUGCAUAUCAACACCCAUGUUAAGGGGGUUAGCCGCUAACCCCAAUGAAGACAAUGCGAUCAACAUCAACCAACAAGAUCAGAGUGGCGCAGCGAAAGCAUGUGUGAGUCCUAACCCAUAGGUCAUAGGAUCCUCAAGUAUCGUCUUACGUGGUCGUGAACGCCUGAAGAUCAAAUCAAUCAGUCCGUAUGUUAAGCUGGCAGAGCCAAUGUUGAAUCGAAGAAGCUAUGAAAAACCGAUGAACCAAUCUCAUUUUCUUGCUAGCUUCUUCUUGAAUCUCGAGGGCGAGAUUCCUGUUAAGGGGGUUAGAUUUGUAACACCCUGAAUUUAGGGGUAUAAAAUUUCUUUUCUAAUAUCCACCAAAUUCAGGUGUUACUCUCUAAGUUCUUCGUUUUCCUUCUCUUUUUUCUAAAAAUGGAGAAUUAUUUUGUUAUAUACAUUUAUAUAAAUUUUUUUGCGUAGUAAAAUAAAAUCCAAAAAGGGUCCUUGAUUGUUGCAUGGCUUGCCGAGACAUUGUUUUGUAUGUUGUUUUUUUUGUGGUCGUGUACCCAUUUAAACUCAUAAAGUAUAUUUGGAUCUUGGAUUCAAAAGAUAUAUCUAAAUUCGAAUAGAAUAGAUUAAAGGAAAGGGAGAAAUAGAAAGCCGCCCCCUCUUCUUGGGCUGCCCGCGUGGUCGGCCCAACGCGCGUGGGCAUGGCAAACCGCACGUCGUGCCUUGUGGCUGCGCCUAGAAACCACUAUCAUUCUCUCUCCCUUUCCCAUCUUCUCUCCCUGAUGCUCGCAACUGCCACUACCCCUAUCACCUGGUGGUUGCCGAUCCCAGCGCCCAAAUCCAAAGCACCCCGGCGAGCGCCCAGACGCCCAGCUUGGCUGUCUCGGCGCGACCUCUUCUUCUCCGGCGAGUCCUUCGACCAGGUGAGUUCUCCUCCUUUUCUUUGUGUUGGAUUGAACCUUCGUAGCGCGUUCUUUUUUCGUCCUCGGCAAACUUGCCAUGCAGUUUCGUGACCGAAUUGUCCUGCGCGCGUUGUCUAGCUAAGUUGUCGCGCGCUGCUAUCCUCGCUCCAUCGAGCUUGCGCCUCCCACGCACGCAGCCGCGCCCUGCUUCUCCAACUUGGCAUGGCAGCCUGUUGCUCGGCCCCGGCCGACGUGCCCCCUGUGCCGCAGGCCGCUCGACCUGCUCCUCCGGCCUCCGCAUACAUGCUCCCCUGCGCAGGGCGUGGCGCGGCAGCCGGCCUGCGCGGUAGACACGCCAGCGCGGCGGCUCGCCCGUGUGGUCAGGCAUCCGGCCCUGGCUCCCUAGCCUUGGCGCCAUGGUCGGCCACUCGGCCAGGCUCCAGCCGCAGCGUGCCUAGGUGCCCAGCGCCCUCACCUCGGCUAUGGCCAUGGCCAGCCCCCAGCCUAGAGCACCGGCUCCCCCUCCCAUGCCCACGUCCCCUCCUUCUCCCUCCCCUUGCUGCUGAUUCCAUGGAGAAAGAUGGAUGAAGGAAGAAGAACUUCAUGCGAUUGGAUAUGAGAGAAGAAAAGUUUCGUGCACAUGAGAGAGAGAAAAGAAAACUGCCCACGUUUCAGCCUGACGUCAGAUCCUUUGUGGCUAUGUUCCCUAUGUCCCUAGGUGUGGCCCUGCAUGUGGCAAGUCUUCAGCCAAUUAUAUCACGCCACAUGUUUUUCAGUCCCCGGCUAAUUGGAUAUGCGUCAUUAUUUGCGUUAAAUAUUCGUUUUAAUUCAUUCGAGUCAUGUUAGCUUCGUAAUAACGUUGACAACAUGUUAAUAACAUUAUUCUGUUCGUACACAAGUUUUAAUUAAUUAGUUAAUUAUUUGUUCAUCUGAUAUUUAUUAAAAUAUCAAUAUAAUUAAACUAAUCUAUAAUUUUAAUUUGCGCUUUUAUAAAUACAAAUUAAUGUGAUUAAUGCCAACUUUAAUGUUUUCAACUAAUAUUUGUUUCAUGUAAAAGCGACAUCUAUUUGUGAUUUUCGCGUUUCUUCGUGCAUGGCGCGCGUGCUAUUCGCGCACGUCAUAGCGCGUCGGCCACGCGCUGUUUUCAAGCAUUGUCGUGUGUCGCGCGCACGAUCCACACACAUUAGUUAAUCGUUUCGCUAUAGUCGUUCAUGCUUAUUAAUUAAUUCUUGUUUAAUCGUUGACUAAUCGAUAAUUCUAUUUAUCUAAAAUAUCUUACGCAAAUAAUUUUGUGCGUUUAAUCACAAUUUAGUAGUAUUCGUUGGUAGCGUCGUUUGUUAGCCGCAAAUGGUCAGUUAUUUGAUAUAUAAUGCGUCGUAAACCCAUUUCUACUCGUCUUGGUCGCGUGCUGAGUCGCUCGUCGUUCACGCGUGCCGCGAGCAUUGUUUCGUGUAUGUCGUGCGCAUUGCCGCACGCGUUAUUAAAUGGUUCCAUGUUAGUUGCUCGUAUUAACUAAGUAAUUCUCGUUCAAUUGUCGAGUAAUAAAGUAAUUGUUCAAUCGGAUCGAAUUUAUGAGUUUAAUUAUGCGAUUGUAAAUACAUAGUAAUGUGAUUUUUAACCACUUAGAUGUUGUAUGGAAUGUCUAGUUAGUGUUUAGUAUAAAAACAACAGUUCAAUCGAAUCUAGUUUAUAAUUUCAAUUAUGCGUCGGUAGAUAUUUGGUAACGUGUUGUCAUGCGUGUCCGUCUCCCGUUGUUCCGCGCAUGUCAUGUGUGUAGUCGUCGUCUAUUUUCUUGUUCGUGCGCGCGCCGCCAUGCGUCCGGUCCGCAUGUUAAAUCAUGUGUUGUUUUGCACGUGUCGUUCAUGUAAAUCGCAAUUGGCACGCUUCAAUAGGAUCACUUCGCCAUAUCGUUCAUGUUAAAUACUUGAUUAAUUGUUUAGUAUUCAGUUAUUAAAGUAAGAAUUUAAUUAGAACGAGUCUAUAGUUUUAACUCGUGCUUUUAUAAAUACAAAUGUUAAUUGACUCGGUUAAUACCAGCUUAAAUACUUUUAUUUAUUCGUUUGUUGUUGUUCGCACGCUGCAUCGUUUGCGCGUCAGCGUGCUGUUCGCGCACGUAGUCGCGUUGACUCGCGUGUAUCACGCACGGUUGUGUGCGUUGUUUCGCGUACGCGCAGCGUGGCGUCGGGGUCCCGACGACAUCCGUCUACCCCUAGACGACGUUCGUCUACUGUAGACGACGCCCGUCUACCCCCUGAACCCGUUCGUCUACCCCUUCGUCUACCCCUGGAACAUCGUUUGACUUUAAAAUCUAAUUUAAGAAUUCGAUUUGCACCAACAUGAUUAAUCUUAACUGAAAUAUUCUUUGUUAAUAAUUGCUUAGAUUAAUCAUGCUUUUAUUUAUUAGUUUUUCAUGUAGCUUGCCUUGCCACGCGUCUGGUUCGUGUGUCGCGCGACGUCUGCGUGUGAUAAUAAAUUAGUUUCGUUUGUAACUCAUGUUGGUAACGUUAACUUGUCGGGUCGCUUAUUUUAGAUAAUUAACUUAAGGUUUGCUCGGCUAAUAUUCAUUAGACUAAUAUUUAUAACUAUAUUAAAUGUGUAGUGUUCCACGUGAGCUUUUAUAAUAAAUAUUAUCAUGGCUAGUAUUAACUUAACUACUUUUAUUUAUUAAAUAUUUGUUUAGUACAAAUACGUUACCUAUUUUAUUUUCUCGCCUGUCGCGCGUGCUGUUCCACGCGUGGUGGCGUCCUCGUUUGCGCUGGUCGAGCGUUGUUUCGUGUGUCGUCAGCGUGCUAUGUCGCGCGUGUCCGCGCGUCGUUUGCACGCUGUCGUGCUGUUUCACGCGUCAUAAAUUCAUCUCGCUUAGAAUCUAUCAUUUUAAUUAAAUUAUUUAAUUAACAGACAUUUGUUAGCGUAUCAGAUUAAUCGAAACUAACUGAUGUAUAAUAUUUAUGUUUGAUCAUGUUGAACUAAAAGUUGUUGUUAAUACUUGUUUAACGUUAACGCGCUAACUUCUCAACCGUAACUUCGAGUUCGACGUUUCUUUCCCUCUCGUGACCAUAGAAUCGAGCUCUAUUUUAUGCUGCAUGUUUUUAUAACAAUUUAUCAUGUAUGGUGUAAUGUUCUUAUGCAUAUAUAUAUGUUUGUUUGUUUGUGCCUGUUGGUAUUCGUUGUGCGUCGCAAAUAGUUUGUGAUCCGUUUCCGAGCUUCGAGAGAUCGAAGGUCAAGCUUUGGUGACCAAGUGAUCAAGCUCCUCGAGCUCUACGAGAUUGAAGAUUCUGAGCAUCUGUUUGGUG
rnacentral:lncRNA from 1 species